GCCUGGGUGGCACAGCGGUUGAGCGUCUGCCUUCGGCUCAGGGCGUGAUCCCGGUGUUGUGGGUUCGAGCCCCACAUCAGGCU
rfam:Ailuropoda melanoleuca scaffold74_31, whole genome shotgun sequence.